rnacentral:lncRNA from 10 species
AAGACAGAGAUGAAGAAAAGAAGGAAGUGGAGGCAAUGAGGAAAGGAGGGAAGAAGGAAGGAAGGAAAUCAUGCUUGAAAGAAGUUGUGGAACAUGUCAAGUUUUUUUCCGGAUGUGGCGGAGAUUAUGCAGCUACAAUGAAGCCAGAUUAAGAUUUCAGGAAAAUGGACAGAUCUCUACAAUGUUCUCCAAAGAGAUUGUUUUGCUUGCCAAUAAAAAGAGACACCUGGGAGCACCAUACUCUCUCCUGUUCCUCUGGGUAUCAUAUUUCCUUAUGACACCUGAAACUCUGAUGCCUUCUGGGUCCAUGAAAGCAGUGAGAUGAGCACAGGAAACCACGCUGAGGAUGGUUGAGCAAAAAGGUGACAUUGAGCCACUGGAUUAACCUGCCCAG